CCCGGAUGGAGAUUUCUACGAGUCACGUGAACGUAGAGGGCGCUGCGCAAGUUUUUGGAACUAGCAAGGACAUCGUAUUAGUUAACAUCAUGCAAUGAGUUAAUAAACUCAGCGGGUUCUUAUGUUCGCUUUUUGUUUAUUAAUUGAUCUAAAAGCAACAGCAGCUGUUUCAGUAGUUUGCACUAUGCUGUUCAUAUUAUUGUUUAUAUUGGGGGCACACGGGUAUUUUUUUUUUUUUAAAUGUCAUACUAGUUUAGUAGGUCGCAGAGCCAGUUUAUAUCUGUAAUGUAUAUAACUUUUUUGUAAUGCAUACAAACAAGUACAAUGUACUUGGCUUCUAAAAUACAAAACUAAAACAUUUGAAAAUGAUGUGUAAAAAAUGUCUGACAAUUAAAUACGAAACGAUCCACAUGAAAAUGAAUGCCAACAUUAUAAAUUAACAAAACAUAUACUGUGCACAAAAUAUAAACGAAUAGGUUUACAAAGGUUUUUACAUUCUAUAUAUUCGUUGUGUUAAAUAAAAUUAAGGGACAGUGAAGAAGCUUGUAACCAAUCAUUUGGAUUUGUCCAACUGCAGGGCGGAGUCCAUUUUUAUGGACUCUGGAAACAACUUUCGCGAAGUGAUUGAAGAGCGAUGAUUUCUGUCGAUUCUGAAGAAACAAACACAAAUUCAAGGUCCUGUUUACAAAAUAGCGUGGUCAGCUGACUGGACAAUGCAGUUGUGGAGGAAAGAUCUGCUAAAACCACUUCUUAGCUUCACUUCCACCAACAGAGCUGUAUAUGACAUCAUGUGGUCCCCAAAAUCACAGUAUAUGGGGCGGUCAAUGAACAGAGUGUGGAGAUCUGGGACCUAAGUGCCAGCAUCUUGGAUCCUACUGUUGUGGAGUGAAUCUGACCACACUGCUGUUUGCUACAAAAACAGACUGUAUCCUAAUUGGUGACAGUGAUGGACAGACGAACGCACUAUAUGACAUAAUUGGGACAACUGUGGCCAGUCAACUGUAAUUAACACCACAAUUUUAAGUACCAAAGACGCAAAAUAAAUGUACAGCGCUGUUUUUUUGGGGAUGCAUAUUAUUCAUAUAGUGUGUAUUUAUAAUAAAAGAAAAUGUAAAUAAAUGUAACAUUUCUAUUCACUGUGUUAGUUGCUUUUAUAUAAUAGUUAGUCAUAAAUAUACAGUGGGAGACAGACAGUCUCUCCCAAAGGAGAAUAAUCAGAUCAAAGUCUAAUUCAUGUCUUGUUCUGCUUGUGCUUACCAAUAUAUCUUGUUGGUUUAAUGUUGUAGAUGCAUGCUGAGAAACAUGUAUUGGAAUAUGGCUUUACCAAAAUAAGAACAAUGAUUAAAUGAUGAAAAGAUAUAGUGAAACACAACCAAUAAACUCAGCCUUAGAAAAGGCUUUUUUUUUUUCUUUUUUUUUUUUUUUUUUUACUGGGGGAAAAAGUUACAAAGUGCACAAUAUUUGGGUUGGUGUUGGUCAUUUUUUGUUUCAGUUCAAAACAAAAAUGAUUGAAAAAACACUUGACAAAAUGCUUGACUACUGAAGUUUAUUUGUUUUUGUUUUUCUGUUGACAUUUCAACUAUGCAACAGUAUUAAACCAGGUGUGUGCUUUUUAUAUAUAAACUGUUCUUCUUAAGCACAGGUCCAAGUUGGACUUUAAUAUAUAUUGUAUUUGUGAAUAAAGAUAAUAUGAGCUGUGUAUUAAUUCAAAUGAAGGGUAAUGACAUUAAGCAAGCUGCUUUAGGCAUUUAUAUUUAUAACUUAAACAGAAAAUUGUAUUUAAUAGAAAAAUAUGAAGAUUUGAAUCAUACAUCCUGAUGAGAGCCUAAUUUACUAUAAUUGAACUGAAAUAGGAUUACUGGGGCCCACAGUUAAUCAGGGUCCUCCA